rnacentral:lncRNA from 10 species
AGUGUAUAAUGAGCAGUGAGACGACUGGAGGUCACUUUCAUCGCCAUCUUGGUUUUGGUGGGUUUUGGACAGCUUCUUUACGCAUGCUGUUUUAUCAGCAAGGUCUUUGUGACCUGUAUCUUGUGCCGACCUCCUAUCUCAUCCUGUGACUAGGAAUGCCUUAACCUCCUGGAAUGCAGCUCACAUGCCAGAAACUAUACAAUCCACCCCCUCUGAAGGAGUUUGUUCAUUUAAAAAAAAAAAAAGGGUAAGCAUGUUUUUAAAAUUUAGUUGCAGCAGACAGUACAGAAAACAGUUAUUAUGGCCACAGCACAUGUUGCCUGGGUCUGCUGCUUUUUCUUCUUUCCUAUUUUCUCUCAUCCCUUUGUUCCACUAAAUCCUCCUGCUCCUACCCCCUUUUACCACCACCCCCUCCUCUUCCUCCCUCCUCCACCCUGGAUCCCUAGAGAGGGUUGACCUGGGGGCUAGGUAAUAAUCCCAGAAAGGGCUUGGGAUUCCAAAUUGCCAGAGAUCAAGAAGGCCAUCCAGGGAAAACCUGGAAGGACACAGAGUGGUCAGUGUAAAUGCAUCCACGUGCUCCAAGUGGGCAAAGUAAUUGGUUAAAAUGUGUAAAUGUAAAUGCUAAAAAUCGAAUCUCUAUAGAGUGGCCAAUGCUAUAAAAGGAUUACCUUAUUCUAAACAAUUUUUUCAUUCUGUAUUUUUCCUGCCAAUCUAUAUAUUGUUCAUUAUUUCACCUUCUCCUUGUUGUUUUCCUGAGCUUUGGGCAAACCUCAUCACUUAAUGCAUGCAAUAAAUGGGAGUAAGUUCAAUUUUUCAUCGAGGAUAACCAUGAUAAAAAAAAGAAAGAAGAAAUUCACUAAUACUACAAACUGUGUUAACCUUGACAUGAGAACUUUCAGAGGAGUAGUGGAGGCAAAAGCUUGAUUGGAAGGGACUGAAGGGAAUGGGAGGAGAAGAAUUGAAGGCAGUAAGUAUAGACAACCCCAGAAGAAUCAUUCAGUGAAGAGCAGCAGAGAUAGUAGAGCUGGAGGGAGAGUUACAGGUGGAUGUGGGGUCAAGAAAGUUUUUAAUAUAAUUAAUGUGAGAGAAAUAAGAGCAUCUUUAUAUGGUGAUAGUAAUGAUGAGGCCAAGAGGGGAAAAACUGAUGACAUAGGGGAGGGAGUGUAUUAGUCCAUUCUCAUACUGCUAUGAAGAAAUACCUGAGACUGGGUAAUUUAUAAAGAAAAAGAGGCUUAAUGGACUCACAGUUCCACAUGGCUGGGGAGGCCUCACAAUUAUGGCAGAAGACAAAGGAGGAACAAAUGCACAUCUUACAUGGCGGCAGGCAAGAGAGCGUGUGCAGGGGAAGUGCCCUAUAUAAAACCGUCAGAUCUUGUGAGACUUGUUCACUAUCACAAGAACAGCACAGGAAAAACCUGUCUUCAAGAUGCAAUUACCUCCCACCAGAUCCGUCCCACAACACAUGGGGAUUAUGGUAGCUACAAUUCAAGAUGAGAUUUGGGUGGGGACAGGGCCAAACCAUAUCAGGGAGUAUGUUUGCCUUUGCCAAGCAGCAUUAAGGGUUUAUGUUCAUGAAUUUAAGAUGGGAGUGGAAGGACUGCUGGAGAUGGAGCAUGUUAGGGGUUAAAUUGUAUGCCCCCCUCAAAAAAAAAUUUAAGUGUUGAAGUCCUAACCUCUGGUACCUCAGAAUGUUACCUUACUUAUCCUGACUAGUUAAGAUGAGGGGGUGUCCUAAUCCAGUGUGACUGGUGUCCUUAUAAAAAUAGGAAAUUUGGGUGCAGACAGGCACACAGGGAGAACACCAUGUCAACACGAAGGCAGAAGUUGGAGUGAUGAGUCUACAAGCCAAGGAUUGCCAGCAAUUCAUCAGAGGCCAGGACAGCAGCCUGGGGCAGCCCCCUACAUGGUACCAACUCCAUCAACACCUUGAUCUCAGACUUCCAACCUCCAGAACUGUGUGAGAAUUCAUUUCUAUUCUUUAAGCCACCUAAUUUGUGGCACUUUGCUUUGACAGUUCUAGCACACAGGGUGAUUGAGGAAGCGUGCUAGGAAGAGAGGAAGCAGGGGUCCUAGAGUGGGCGGCAUGCCUUGCAGCCGUGGAGGCCACACAGCUGUGGGAAAUGACAGGGUCUGCAAUCACGGUGAUGAAAGGGGAAGGACCAGAUUGUGAGAGGAAAGGUCAGUAGGGAACUGAGAGACCAGGAUAAUGGAGGGACAAUCCAUGUGUAAGUUGAACUUGCCCAGAGUUAAGACAGGAAGAGGAAUGCAAUGGUGAGGCAGGAACACUGAGGAACCAGGGGGAAUGACUUCAGGAUGACAGAUGUCACAAAAUGAGAAGUCAGGUGACAUAACCUGAUGACCUGAGAUUCAAUGCAGGACACUUUUAGGAAAGAGAAAGAGGUAAUGAUGCAGAAGUGGCAAUGAGGAGUGUAAAAGAAACGCACCCCACCUCCAGGCCCCAUGGCACAACUGGAGGGAGCAAACCACAGCCACCACGGGACAAGGAGAAUAACGACAGAAUCAGAAGGCAGUGUUCCCAGAGGACAGCCAUGUUUUCAUCAGAGUGAGAUGGUGCUGGAAGAGUCAGAGCCAAGGUUGACACUAUUGGGUUUUGCUAAUAAUGGACUGUGAGUUCCAGCAGGGCCCAAAAGGGGCUUCAGGAUUGGGCAAGGGUAGAUGUCCUCCUCUAGUCCAUGACCAAUGCUGAUCCACACUGGACUAAUUACUUCCCUGAUUCCAAGCUAGUAGAUGGGUAGCAGUAAAUGUUCCAUCUCCAGCUGUACUCACCUUGUUGACUUUAUUUUCUAACUGUAGCUAAUUCUGUCCCAGGACCUGGCUAUUACACAGGCUGAAGCAGCAGUUAGCUCCUCUUUUCUUUGGGACCCACAGAAAUCACAGCAGCUGUGUUGUUGUGGGGUUUCUUGGCGUUUGUUUUGGUUUGGUUUGUUUUUUUUGCCAGUAAUUUUUUUCCCAGAAAGGCAUUCUUUCUCUUCACUGCAGUGGAAGUGAGAGAGGGAGAGAGGGUGCAGAGAGGGAGAGGGCAAGUAAUCAGAUUCCAAGAUGACCAUCUCCCCAGAAGGCUUUCACUAUUCCUCAACAUAUGGCAUCAUUUUAGCAUCCUCAGCUCUGUUAGUUUGAGGGUAACCUCAGCAAACAUGCCCCUCUCAUGAGCAAGGUAUGUGGUUUGACAAGCAGACUGUGACUUUUGUGAUUAGAAAAAAGCAUCCUUCCUCCUGGUGAAUGCAGGCCAUGUCAGGGCGCUCAGCUUGACAAGGAGACAGUAGGCUGGAUUUUAGAUCCUAUUCAUUUCUUGGGCUAAGUAUUCUUACACAGUCAACAACCUGGACAACUGUACAUAGCAGAUCUAAUGGGAGAAAAGUAAUUGGGUGUUUUAAGGAAUAUUUUCAUUAAAGUAUGUGGAAUAUGGUAUCAAGUAGUGACUGUCAUGUAACAAUGCCUUUUACACAUUCCAAUGUGUGUGAAAUACAAAAAAAAAGUUUCCGUGUUAAUCCCCUUAUAAAAUAAUUGAAGAAGUCUUUUUUAUGUGCAAUUGUUUCUGAAAAUAUGUUAAAGUUACCCAGAAAAGUGUUCACAUUUUCAGACUAUUAUCUCAUUCUAGGAAAAAUUAGGACAACUUGACUCAUGCUGGGGAGGCUAGAAUCCUGGAGAGAAUGAAAUUAGAAAAACCUAGAUUUUGGGUCCCCCAAGAUAGCUCAAGUCUGUCAGUUCUGCAAAACAGAAUUAUGCCCCAUUCCCAUUCUCUCACUCCUUACCUGAGAUGCAGACAGGGCUUAGAAAGGACACGCCAAGAUUUGCUGCCUUGCCACACAAGCUGGGUUUUCCCUCCCUGGGCCCUGCCAGCCUGGAGGUCAUAUUUCCUUUACCUUUUGUCCAUUUUUCCCUCCCUGGGGCCUGGCUUGAAGGACAAUUCUUGUUUAGAAGAAAUCAAGUCUAAGAUGUUACUAAUCUGGAAAUGUUGAUCUGGUCUGCCUCUAACAUUUGUGGGGCCCAAAGCAAGAGUACAGACUAAGGUCCCCAAACCAUGUGUCUAGUUAUUUAGAAGUUAUAAAUCAAAGCUAACAAACUGCUGAAUAAAAGAUCCUAUUCUCCUAUCUGAUAAAUAUACCCUCCAAACAACCCAGAAACCCAAGGUAGGAAUGCGGUGGCACAGGGAGUGCUAACUCCUGGCUCACAGCCCAUGCUCCCUCUUUUCCCACAGCCAGCCCUCCAUGAAUGAGGAACUUCCUGGGGCCACUAGUGCAUGCUGCAGCUCACACAGUCAACUCCAUCCACACCUCCACAAACAGCUGCCCUUUGGCCACUACUCAGGCGUAAGGACACACCCAGCAGGGUAUGCCCUCUGGAGGUCAGACCAGGGAAGAAGCCCUUGCACAGUCAGGAGCCAGCUCAGCACCUGUGAUGCUGAAUUCUAUGUGGCAACUUGACUGGACGCAGGUGCUCGGAUUAAACCUGAUUUCUGGGUAUGUCUGUGAGGGUAUUUCCAGAGGAGAUUAGAAUUUGAAUCCGUGGAUUGGCAAAGUUGGUGUCUGCCCCAGUGUGGGUGGUCACCAUCUACUCUCCUGAGGGCCUGAAGAGAACAAAAGGCAAAGGAAGGAGGAAUUCGCCCUUAACUUGCUUGCCGCCUGCCUGCUUGAGCAGAGACAUUUCAUCACAUCUUCUCUGGCCCUCGACUGAGAUUCACACCAUUGGCUUCCCUGGUUCUCAGGCAUUUUGACUUGGACUGAACUACACCAUUGGCUUUCCUGGGCUCCAGCUUGCACAUAGCAGAUUGUGGGAUUUCUCAGCCUCUAUUAUUACAGGCGCCAGUUCUUCAAAAUCAACCUCUCUCUCUCUGUCUCUCUCUCUCUCCCUAGAUCACAGUCUGGAAGUCUGCUCACAGUCUCAAGGUUGGCAUAUCCCCUAGAGCCCCCAGACUCCUCAUCCCAUGGAGACCAACAUGGCCAGGGGAGGGCCAGAGCAGGGCCUUCUAAAUCACAGACCCCAGGGCAGGAGCCCCUCCGGUCUGGAUCUAAGGAUGGUAUUUUCAACAAUUCCUAAAUUUUUAUCCUAGGCUCUCCAAAUGGGAGUCUAAAGGUCUCAAAACAUGGUCCAGAAGAAGUAUGCAAAAAUGUAAAUUCCUAGGCCCCAACCCAGACCUAUGAAUCAGAUGAUCUGUAUGGGGGUUCAAGGAAUCUAUAUUAUUAAACAAUCUUCCUAAAUGACUUGUAUUCAUACUAAAGCUUGAGAAUUGCUAUCAAACAGCUAGAAGUUGGAGUGAAGGGUCCUGCCUUUCCCAUGAAAUUCAUCAACUCUAUGCCCUCAAAAGCUGGGCUCUUGGAUGAGCUGCUCUCCAUUCUAGAGACAUUACCAGCUAGGUAGCCUGCUGGUCCUCAGGAAGUUAAGCCCAGACUCUUCAGCACAGAAUCAGAUAAACACUGAUUACAUUGUACUCUACAGUUCUGAGAACACCAUUACUUAAUUCCCGGCAAGUUGCAAUGUAAUUGAGUAGGUUGUAGUUUUUUGGGUUUGGGGUUUUUUUGUUUUUUAAAUAUAUCAGGCGUAGUUAGCCAGCUUCCUAGAAACACCAUGAUCUCUUGGUGAAAAUUCCAGAAAUAUGCAUCACUUCCUAAUUAAAGUAGGGAAUUUUUAAAAAUUAUUAAACCACAUGCUUUCUAAUUCCUAUUGCCCUUUCUUUUCACCCACCAUUCAGCAGUCAGCAGACACUUUCUGGGUACAACAGGGUAGGACCAUCCAGGCAGAACAAAAGCCAUUGAUCAUGAACUACAGAGGAGAGUUUGGUAAAUGGACACCAGAAACCAUGGCCUACAGGGGCCUGGUUUUCUCCCAUCUAAAUACUAACUAGGCCCAACGCUAGUUGGGCUUAGCUUCCUAGAUCAGAUGAAAUUGGGCACAUUUAGGGUUGGGGGUAUGGCUCUCUAUUGUAAGUAGCAAGAGUUUGAGAGAAGAAAAAAGGGAUUUUCUUUUUUUUUUCUUUUAAAUUUUAGAGCAUUAACUUUAAACAUCAAGAUCCAAACCCCAAGGAUUCAGAGAAUCUUGUACUAUAAACCAUUUGUAUUAGUCAGGGUUCUCCAGAGAAACAGAACCCAUAGGAGGUAUAGAGAUAGAGAAAUAUGGAAUUGGCUCCCAUGAUUAUGGAGGCUGAGAAGUCCCUCAAUCUGCUGUCUGUGAGCUGGAGACCUAGGAAAGCUUAGCUGGUGGUACAAACCAGCCCAAGUGCAAAGGCCCAAGAACUAAGAGCACCAUUGUCAGAGAGCAGGAAAAGACAGAUGUCCCAGCUCAAAAAGAGAGAGCAAAUUCACCUUCCUUCCACCAUUUUAUUCCGUCCUGUUCCAUUCCUCAACAGGUUGGAUGAUGAGGGAGAUCUUUAUCCAUCUCAAGUUUUUUGUGCAAAUAUGGAAUACAAAUGAAAAAUACUUAAAGCACAUCAUCAUUGAUUUCCAACUUAGACUAGUUUAACUUCCCUUUUUCUUCUAUCCUGUCAGUUCCUUGAGGGAUCCUCUCUCCUUGUUCAUCUCUGCAUCUCUAGUAAUUAGCACAGUGCCAGGCACAUGGUAAUAUGGCUAAAACAGUGGAUUAUUGGUCUCCAACAUAAUUAAGCCCAUCCAAAAGAAAAACCAACCUCAUAAAUCUGCUUUGCAAAGUUCAUAAACAAUGGAUAUGCUAUGUCUCAAAGGUGCUGGCCAAAAAAAUUUAAGAACUUGGGAAUUAUGUGUUAUUUUGUUUGUUUUUUUCACCAAGCCUACUUUUCUGUCACAAGAGCCCAUAUCAACAACACACCCAUGUAUGUCCUUCUUUUUAUCUACUUUUCUCCAUGAAGUUUGUCACCAUCAACUGUUAAAACUGUAAAGAUUUGAUCAGCUAAAUAAGUGGUCUUUGAACUAAUUCCUCUCGUACUUCCUAAAGGAACUUUGAAAAACUAUGUAUCCCCUUGCACAUUUUCAAGCAGACACCUAAGAUUUUUCAUCAUAAAUUUGAAUAACUUCAAAAUAUGUACUUAUUAGCAUAUUGUAAAUAUUGAUUUUUAAAUAAAAUAUAUCACACUUUGUAUCCAAUGAACUCUAAACACCAUAGCAAUUUGACACUUACUCUCCCACCCUCAGUCUUAAAAAUUCACCAACAACCUCUUUUUUAACAACCGAAAAAUUUGUAUUAUUCCUUUUUAAAAUUUUGAAGUUUUCUGGAUUGAAUUAUUUUUAUAAUGAUUUUUAGUAUACAACUGACCAAAGCAACAUAAAUAUAUAGCAUAUUUUGAUAAAUAAUUAUAAAACAUAGCAAGUUAUGUGUUAUUGGAAAAUUAAACUAAAUGAAUGGAUCUUUUUAAAUUAGUUCGGGUAUCUGUGGCUGUUCCUAACUGUUAAAAUGAGACAGAGUCAGCGUCAAUUCUACUCUUAUUUUUUAUUUUUUUAGACGUAAGCCCUGAGAAAACUUGUUCAAUUAAAUAAGUAAUGAGAAUGUUAGGCAUUUUCUGAUAAAAAUGUCACUCUGUUAUUUGAAUGCCUUCUUGAUUAUAAGUCAAAAAGUACAUAGUGAUCUAUUAUCAAAAACUAUUGGCCUAUCUGUUGACAACUUGGGUAGGUCCUCCUUUAAUUUUAUUGAAAGCAAAGAAUUGGAAACUACCUAAUUUACAAAAAAAAGAAGAAGAAGAAGAAGAAGAAGAAAUGUGUUACCUAAUUAUUAGAGCUCACUUUCUAAGUUUCUAGGAAGUAUGACCCAAAAAAGCUUGGCCAAGACUUAUCACAUGGCUGUUGAUUAUACCAUCACCCUUUUACUUACAGGCGUCUUGCUUAUGGACCUAAAAAAGAUGAAACUGGAGUUAGAAACAAAAACAGAAAAUUGUAAAUUGUGCAUUUGGGGACUUUUCUCCUUGACUGUGAACAGAGACCUAUAUACAAUGCCAAAUUUCAUUUUUUAAGAAUGUCUCAAAAUGCAGAGUAAAGAAAUGACAGAAGGACAGACACUUGGGGAUAUUCAUGUAUAUACUAAUAACUUCUUCCCAAAUAUGACUGAAGACAAUACACUUAGCAGAACUGAAAUCAAUAUAUUAACAUCUGAAAGGGAGAAAUUAAUCCUAAUUCAAUCAAGCCAGUUUUCUAAAGUUCAGGUCAUUGCAUAUUAGAUUUACAUUUUGGAAAAAUUUUUUUUGCUUUUGAACCAAUAGAUUUCUGCUUUUGACAGUAUAGUUUAAAUACUUUAUGUAAGUUGACAGCAAGAGAAAGAACUUAGUCACCAAUAAGUAUAGUACAAGAUUAUGGAAAGCACAUUAAGGACCUCUAAGCACAUUAGUUAGAGUAUAAUCUGCAAUAUAUUCCUGUUAAAUUACUUAAUGCUAAUUCUGUGGACUGAAUUUCAUUCCCCCAAAAUUUAUAUUUUGAAGGCUUAACCCUUAAUGUGACUAUAUUUGGAAAUAGUGCCUGUGAAGAGGUGAUAAAGGUUAAAUGAGGUCACAGGCUGGGGUCCUACUUCACUAGGACUGGUGUCCUUUAAAGAAGAGGACAAGAUGCCAGAUGCUCUCGUUCAUGUGCCCCCUUUCUCUCUCUCUCUCUCUCGCUGGUUCACUCUCUCUCUCUCUCCUCCUGCCCCCCAUGUGAGGAUAUAAGGAGAAGGCAGCCAUCUGCCAGCCAGGAAGAGAGCCCACACCAGAACUUGACCAUGCUGACACCCUAAUCUUGGAUUUCUAGCCUCCAGAGUUAUGAGAAAAUAAAUUUCUGUUAUUUAAACCACCUGGUGCAUGGUAUUUUGUUAUGGCAACACAAGCUGACUUAUAUACCUAAUAACUACAUGGCAGGAAUUAAUACAUGAACGGGAAAGUUGUUCAUGAGUGACAGUGAGCAGGAGACCUGUACCUUCAUCAGAAAUGAAUAUAGAUUUCAUAUUUUGCUAACUUUUAGCAAAAAUUAAUGAAAGUGUUUCUCCUAUAAAUCUGAGUAAAUAUUUAAGAAAAUACAAAAUACUAACUUACCUCUAAUAUGUGUUUCUUUUGUUAGAAAAUGUAGCCUUGAUAUGUUGGAAGAAACUGUAGUCUUUUCACCUUGAAGUUAUGCAAAUUACACUCCUGAG